rnacentral:rRNA from 1 species
CUACGGGGGGCUGCAGUAAGGAAUAUUGGGCAAUGGACGGAAGUCUGACCCAGCCAUCCCGCGUGCAGGAAGAAUGCCCUAUGGGUUGUAAACUGCUUUUGUUUGGGAAGAAAUGUACUUUUUCAAGAGUAUUUGACGGUACCAGACGAAUAAGCACCGGCUAACUCCGUGCCAGCAGCCGCGGUAAUACGGAGGGUGCAAGCGUUAUCCGGAAUCACUGGGUUUAAAGGGUGCGUAGGCGGCCAGAUAAGUCAGAGGGGAAAGUUUCCGGCUCAACCGGGGGAUUGCCUUUGAUACUGUUUGGCUUGAAUCAGAUUGAGGUUGGCGGAAUGUGACAUGUAGCGGUGAAAUGCAUAGAUAUGUCAUAGAACAUCGAUUGCGAAGGCAGCUGGCUGGAUCUGUAUUGACGCUGAGGCACGAAAGCGUGGGGAGCAAACAGGAUUAGAUACCCCGGUAGUC